rnacentral:lncRNA from 1 species
UUGAGUACUUCAGAUCAUCCUGGUAAUUGGAACAAUCAAACAUAAGAAAGCACACAAAAUAUGAGCAAACAAAAUAUAAAUGGAGGUUUUACAUUCAGCAAUUAACACAAGGCUAAGACAUGCUCCCAUAGAAAUUUCAGGAAUUGCAAGAUUAUUCUUGUGUUAGCUCAACACUUUGUGCAAAAAAAAACUCACAUUAAUAACUUCCAACAUGAAGAGAUGUGAAUCAUAUAUCUUUAACACAGUAAAAUAAACAGCACCAACAUGAGCACCACAAGACAACACAGCUCAUAUACCACCAAACCAAACUGAUCAUGGCAAACUAUAAGUUGACCUCAACACAAACAACACAUGCACACAAAGUAUGCAUGGCUGAAACAAACCUCAUAUGUAGACUUUAACUUAAUUCAUGAGUUUGAAUCGAAGGAG